ACUAUUGCCUACAGUUACCGUGUAGGGCACUGCAUGGUUGGGUGACCAGGGUCAUCUGGGACUGCCUCCUGGAGAAAUUCAGGUGUGUGAAGGCUACCUGUGUCCUGCGUAACUUCAUGAGGAUGAACACGAGGACCAGGAGGGGAUCUGCAGCUCGCCGCCGUGUGCCAGAGGAGGAGUCUGCUGCUCUGCAGGAUGUUUCAAGGAUGGGGUCCAACAACGCAGCAAGAGAGGCAAUCCGUGUGCAGGAGAUCUUCACCUCCUCCUUCUUCAAAGAGGGUGCUGUUCCCUGGCAACACCAUAGACUACACUAUGCACAACCAAAGUAUUCUUCCAUUUCAACUGCGGUUAUUCAAUUCACAGUUUCUCUCCCUUUGAUUUCUACUUCUCAGGUGAGGGUGCAGUUUAGGUAGGGUGUGUUGUCUGUGCAAAAACAAAACAGGUAUUUUAAAUCCCUAAUAUUGAAAAAAAUGUAGAACAAUUAGACACCCUAUAACCGACAUCUACACACUCAUGUCAUGGAGAAUAGUAAGACACUUAAUAAUUUCUAUAACUACGCUAUAUUGUUUGUCCGUUCAUGUUUUUCAGCAUAAAGUACUCUGCAGCCACUUAGUGUGGUGUGGACACCAGGUUAUAUCAGCUGUGUCGGUGAACCCCUCCUGCAUCUGGACUGGCUGCAUAGAGGGCACAGCAUGUUCAGAUGUGAGAGGUCACUUGCUCAGGUCAACAGUAUUAUUAAAGAGAUGCUUUACAUUGAAAUACAGACAGAGAUGCAGUAGUCCCAGAGUUAAUGAUCCAAGGUCAGUUUUGCAUUUCACCUCCUGAUUGAUGACUAACAAUGUUAGAAUAAAAAAUAAAAACACAAGGCUUAAACAUGCUCUCUCUCUCCAUCGGUCUCUCGUCUGCAGGUAUGUUUUGAUGUGAGAGGAUGCCAACCCCCAGUCCCAUCAUCGCCACCUCACCUGCUUUCAACCUUUAGGCCGGCUAGAGACACUGUUAUGUAAUUGUGAUGAACUGAGAGAAUAUUUAGGUAGCACUGUGAUUCAUUAAUCAUGUGCUGCCUUCCCUGCUCCUAUGUGCUUACCUCUUUCCCUUUCUGUCUUUUACACCUCUCUCGCCCCCUCCUCUUUCUUCCUCUGUUUUUAUAAUGCACAACAGAUGUGCAUUGAAGUACAGAUUGAACUUGUAUUUAUAACACUUGGAUAAUGAGCUUUUCAAUAAAGCGUUUCACAUUC